UAGCAAGCCUCCAGCAUGCUUGAGUCUCCUGUGACCCUGUGAAUUCUUAUAGGGCUUGCCAGAACAGUUUUGAGAUGGUUUCGAGCCUUACUCUGCUCCAUUCACAGCAAGGUUAUAGCAAUUUCAGUUAUUU
rnacentral:snoRNA from 1 species